AUUACUGUUACUGAUACCGCAGUGCUAACAUCUGCAGGUCUCAAACGAGACAGAGUUACAUGGCUUCCUGCAGCACUCUGCAAUCUAUACAGACAAGCGAAGGGUUGAGGAAUGGGGCAACAGGGGGCAAAUCAGAAAACUGAGGAAAAAAAAUCAUACUUUAAGAGUGAGCAACCAUGCAGUCACUUCAGACAAAGUAUGCUUUUCUUCAGGAAAUGUACUCCAGAAAGAAAGCACUGCUACGGGGAGAAAACAGGCUGCUCCACAGCAAGCUAUCUAAAAGGUGCUUCAAAGGAGACCUCGUGCUUUCACGUAUAAAAAGUAAAUCCAAGUUACUUAGUCCUUCAGCACAUGCUUGAGCACAGAACCAGCUGAAUAGGAAAGAUUUCACACUGUGCACCCUCGCAAGGCUCCUCUCCUUUCCCACCCCACUGGAAGGGCCUCGUGUUGAGAAGUGCCAUUGCCGGGGGAGCCCUCAGCACUGCUCCUCACCCCUCUGCCAAUUUUAAUGCCGCUGUGCUCCCACAGGUAACGGUUCUCGGACACGAAACACACCAUUUCUUUAAACGAGGGUGUGACAAGUUUUGUGUUUGUAUUUAUUUUGCUCCCCUCCUAACUCUUCGAUCUUCAGGACUGCCUGGAGGCAAUCGCAAACUUACCGCCCGGCUAUGAGAUCUGAAACUUUCCCAGAAAACCAUUUCCAAAAACAGUGAUGUUCUAUGAGAGAUUCCAUGCUGAGAGAUCAUUCCUUCCAAUUGCCUGACUGUUCCUCCAAAAACUUUGCCAAUGAAUUAUUUACCUCGAAGACUUCAGCCAGCUCUGUCAAUAACCUUUGGGGAAGCUCCAGCUGAUGUGCCGACAGAACAGCAUGGGCACACGGUGCUUGGCCACUGGAAGAAUCUGGCACACGAACUAAACUUUGGAGCCUUUGUUUGCCCUUGGCAUGUCUGCUUUGGAGUUUUGUGCCAAGAAGGCACCACAGAGCCUCCAGAAAAUUAGAAAUACUACAAAAUGGAAUGACUUUUAGCAUAGAGGUGCAACAGUAGCAAAUGUUUGUAAACUAUUCCGACAGCAUUCUUGACAUCCGGCUGGCAAUUUCAUGUAGUCGGGUUUCUACUUUAGUUCCUGUUAAUUUAUUAGUUUGUGAAACUAAAAAACUGCAGCUUACACUCUGUUCAGCUUCCAGAUUCAGACUUUUUGUUUUAAAAUCUGCACAGUGCAAUAUGGAAAUCUGUGCUUUUUAAUGCAGGUUUUAAAAACUGCAGUUAAAUAAUUUCAGGUGGGGGGGAAGCUAUAUCCAAGGAUAACACCUGUUUCGAUGCAAUUAAAGCCCUACAGCAAUGUAUGGAUAAAAUACUUCCAGAAAACAUUUCAAAUGAUUACAAGACCAAAGGGGUUGUGAGUAGUUAGUCCCCAGAAAAUAGAUUGGUACUGGUGGAAGCAGAUUGAUUUGAACUAACUAUUGCCCAGGUGCAAUGGAAGGUGUAAGAUGGUGGCAUUUAAAACGUAGAAGAGUAAUUGGAGAGACAGGUGCUGCUUAUGCUGAAACUUGCCUGUUGUGAUGUAAACAAACCAAGGUAAAGCUGCUGGUGCAGUGCAGUGGCUUUAAAGCAAGAUCAAUUAAAUUAUUUUAUUAAAAAAAAAGCAUAAAAUAAGUCAUGGCUCCUCUGUCCUUUCUUACGCUAAUGUCCCUUAGCAACUGUCUUUGUGAAAGUCAUAAAUUUGGAAUAAAUCAAAUACAGCACAACACUCCCCAAAGC